rnacentral:sRNA from 1 species
UAGGAAUGUUUUGGUUCGUGGGCCAGUA